AUGACGUCCUAUACAUAUGGACAUAUCAUUCGCAGUCUGAUAACGGAACGGCAAAAGUUUGCAUAAAGACAAUGUAAGCACACCUUUCUCCUUAGUCAUGUGCUAUAAAAAGUGCUUAAAUAAAUAAUUAACGACUUAACAAAAGAUGGUGUGAAAUGUCAUCGCUGGUGCUUCCCGUGUGGCGUCAAUUUGGUCCAGAUCUGACAAUGGUAACAACUCAAUAUCGCGCCAGCCGAUUUUGUUACUUCUAUUUUUAUUGGAAAGGAUAUACUAACGUCACCUUUCCCGUACACGAGAUAAUGAAAGAGAAUUGGCGCCAGUUCGUAGAAAGAGACGUGAAGAAAUUUACAAACCAUAUAAGGAUAUUUGUAAUAUUUCACCACUAAAGGAAUUAAGUUUUUUGGAUUAACACACAUUUAAAAUUUGACAAAAGCAACAUAUACCAUACAACAUAUACAUAUACCAAAAAGAUACCCUGGAAAAGAUAUCCAAGUCUAAAAGACAAAUUUUAUUUAA